UAAAAUUGCUGCUUAAAGUCAGAUCCCAGCUGCUCACAAGAUCUCAGUAAGCUCUAAUGAUCUUCAGUUAUCAAGUGGAGCAGUUGUUUACAGACAUUGACCUUUUCUGGAACUGAAAUCGCUCUCUGCCAGUGACAGAAUACAAAUGAAAGCCUGUAAGUAAUGCCAAAAGUGCUCUGAGGACAAUGCUGAGACUUGAGUAUCAGUCAAGGUGAGCAAAUCCGCCUUCAGAAAUGAAAGGCUUUUAUCUUCUUCUUCUUCAGGCAACAUAAAACUGUGGGCUUCUCAGAGAUGAUGAAGAAUCUUGGAUUUGAGGAUGUAUGACACCAGGUCAAAGCCGGAACAGAAGACUGACCCCAUCAGUCAUAACUGUCUUAAGGACUGGCAAUGAUAUAUCUUUGUCACAGUCAUAGCAAAGAAAGAUUCAAAUAGCUUUUUGAGGGCUGUCUGUUAGCAGUCCUCAAAUGACUUUUGUUUUGUAUUCUAUUCUUUCUCCAGGAGUUAUGUUGGGUAGUAUUUCUGUGAUGGCUUCUGGUUCAUCUUCCUAAACAUUCUAAAUUAGAGCUGAAAUAAGGGACAGGUCUCAUAGAAUAGCUGCAUGACAAACAACACUUGGUGAAGUUUCCUCUUUUUCUCAGCUAUUAAAGGAACAGAGGUCCUAUUCUUUUGCUAGGAAGAUGAAAUAAGACCAUUUACAAAAAUUACCCAAACACAUCUCUUGACAACUCUAAUUAUGCUUUGAUUUAUUGAUUGUGGUUUCUGUGGAUGUUUGACUGAGAAAAAGAUAAGGAGAGAGGGUAGAUAAGUAGGGUACAUACAUAUAAACUGUAGUCAAAUCCAGUAGGUUAGAGCCUUAACAGUGUCCGUUCAGUUAUUUAUUCAUAAACUUAACAGUGCAGUGCUAUGUACAGUAGAGUCCCGCUUAUCCGACUUCCGCUUAUCCGACGUACCGUAUUAUCCGACGCAAGUCAGCUCAGUGGUUGCUCUAGCACAGCAGGCCUCUCCCAUCGGAGCAUCCAGCCUGCACUGCCGCGUCUCGCCCUUCCUGGCAAAAUGCAGCGGGCUUCUCCACUCGUCGGGAAGGGCGGGAGGACCUCUGCAUGUUGCUGAUACUCAAUCAGCUGCUCUGCUCGCUGGGGGGAGCGGGGGGAGAAGAGAAACUUCUCUAAGCAGCAACACUUUCGGCUUCACCAGUCGCCAGGAGGAGUGGAAGGCUGUCUGCAUGUUGCUGCCUAGCAACACGCAGUCAGCUGCUCCACUCCCCGGGAGGCGCGCGGGGGGGGGGGGGAUCUGCAUGUUACUGCAUAGAGAAACUUCUCUAAGCAGCAACACUUUCGGAUUUUCCAGUCGCUGGGAGCGGAGGGCUCCCUGCGUGUUACUGCAUAGAGAAACUUCUCUAAACAGCAACACUUGGCUUCCCCAGUCGCUGGGAGGAGUGGAAGGCUAUCUGCAUGUUGUUGCCAAGCAACACGCAGCCAGCUACUCCACUCGCCAGGAGGAGGAGGGGGGCGGGGGGGGGGGCUCUGCAUGUUACUGCAUAGAGAAACUUCUCUAAGCAGCAACACUUAGUCGGCUGCUCCAUUUGCCAGGCGCUGAACAGGAAAUGGUGAGAGCCCUGAAUGAGCUACAAAACAUUCUUGCAUUCAUCUUAUAGGAAGGGAUGGCUGUUUUCACUCUAGUGUUCACAUAAUAUUGCUUCUUUCCCUUUUAGAGAAAUAAUACCUGUCCUUUAUUUUGGUUUAUGGUCAGGCAUUCAUAUCCUAAGCACUCAAGUACUCCAGGGCAGUGGGAAAGCAGAUGAGAUUAAAACUACAGUAUGCUCACAAAGUAGGACUGAACCUGAAGAAAAACUGUUGAGUUAAUGCUGCUUUAUUUCUCCAUAUCUGACUCCUUACACUUCCAGAGGCCCUAUUUAUUGAACUGCUUUUUCUGUGGAUUUGUUAUAAAACAUGAUGUUUUGGUGCUAAAUUAAUAAAUACAGUAAUUACUACAUAACA